AAAAGCACAAUAUUCACAAAGUUUUACAAAAAUACCUACUUAAAUACAAUUAUUUUUGAAAUGUCAGUUCAACAUUAAAUAGUUUGAAAUUGUGCCCAAGUUGUAGGCCAUGAUUGCUUUGUUUGUUCUGUUUUCUCCUGCCAUAGCAGCUUUAUUUUGGUGCUCUCCUUGUUUUGCCGAGAUAUUUGUUGAUCUUAUGAAGGAAACAACAAAAUAAUUGAGUUUUUAAAAUCACAAGGCUACAAUGAGGAGAAACAUCACCAACUCUAUGUGUCUGCUUCCUAACUCAAAGGCAUACAACUUGAACAUGGCUUAUCAUUUUUCAUCCCUGCCAGAAAAUCCAACUGGUGCCAGUGGGAACCAUCAUAAGGAAUUAAAUUGUUAUGUUUCCCAGGAUCAGUAAUUAUAAGAAAACAAUACAAGAUAGAAUGAUAAAAGAGAGUAUCAGUUCAUGAAACAGAUAUGAAGAAAGUGAGCUUUCAGACAACUUGGUAUGAGAUUCAACUGAAUCAAAUAAUCCUGGAAACAGGUACAUGAAUCUAGUAGGAAAUCAACAAGUAGAGAUGAAAUGGAAUAGUUAUGCCUUAUUUUUGUGGUAAUCCAAUUUCACCAACCACAAUAAUGGAAUCUCUCAUUUGUAUUCUGCUAUCUUAAUA